AUGGAGCCGACCUUGAAAUACCACCCUUUAAUGUUUGAUGUUCUAACGUUGACCCGUAAUCCGGGUUGCGGACAGUGUCUGGUGGGUAGUUUGACUGGGGCGGUCUCCUCCUAAAGAGUAACGGAGGAGCACGAAGGUUGGCUAAUCCUGGUCGGACAUCAGGAGGUUAGUGCAAUGGCAUAAGCCAGCUUGACUGCGAGCGUGACGGCGCGAGCAGGUGCGAAAGCAGGUCAUAGUGAUCCGGUGGUUCUGAAUGGAAGGGCCAUCGCUCAACGGAUAAAAGGUACUCCGGGGAUAACAGGCUGAUACCGCCCAAGAGUUCAUAUCGACGGCGGUGUUUGGCACCUCGAUGUCGGCUCAUCACAUCCUGGGGCUGAAGUAGGUCCCAAGGGUAUGGCUGUUCGCCAUUUAAAGUGGUACGCGAGCUGGGUUUAGAACGUCGUGAGACAGUUCGGUCCCUAUCUGCCGUGGGCGCUGGA
rnacentral:rRNA from 1 species